CUACAGAGGGUGCAAGCGUUAUUCGGAAUUACUGGGCGUAAAGCGCGCGUAGGCGGAUGAUUAAGUCAGUCGUGAAAGCCCUGGGCUCAACCUAGGAACUGCAUCUGAUACUGGUCGUCUAGAGUUUAGGAGAGGGAAGUGGAAUUCCAGGUGUAGCAGUGAAAUGCGUAGAUAUCUGGAGGAACAUCAGUGGCGAAGGCGACUUCCUGGCUUAAAACUGACGCUGAGGUGCGAAAGCGUGGGUAGCGAACGGAAUUAGAUACCCUAGUAGUCC
rnacentral:rRNA from 1 species